rnacentral:tRNA from 1 species
GGUGGCAUGGCCAAGUGGUAAGGCGCUGGUUUGCAAAACCUUGACCCCCAGUUCGAAUCUGGGUGCCACCUCCA